rnacentral:rRNA from 1 species
CACGAGUGUAUAUUUGAGUUGUUGAGGUUGAAGAGUUCGUAGCCGGGAGUUUGGGACGCUGAGAGGAACUGCUCAAGACGAGUGGGCCAGGAGGCGUCUCACGUGGUCGAACCGUGAUGAAAAGGUGAUGUUCAAAGUAGAUCUUAGGAUCGUUGAGCCUUUAUCUCGGGAUUCUAGAAGAUGUUCUUGGGCACUGGUGCCGAAGAAAAUGACAAACAGGAACGAGCGUGGCCGUCUGUAUUGCGUCGUGAGAGGUGAAAUUCUAUGAUCGCCGCAAGACAAUCCGAAGCGAAGGCUGUCGGCCAGGGCGUUUCCAUUGG